rnacentral:rRNA from 1 species
GACGAACGCUGGCGGCGUGCUUAUCACAUGCAAGUCGAACGAUGAACCACUUCGGUGGGGAUUAGUGGCGAACGGGUGAGUAACACGUGGGCAAUCUGCCCUGCACCCUGGGACAAGCCCUGGAAACGGGGUCUAAUACCGGAUACUGACCCGCUUGGGCAUCCAAGCGGUUCGAAAGCUCCGGCGGUGCAGGAUGAGCCCGCGGCCUAUCGGCUUGUUGGUGAGGUAAUGGCUCACCAAGGCGACGACGGGUAGCCGGCCUGAGAGGGCGACCGGCCACACUGGGACUGAGACACGGCCCAGACUCCUACGGGAGGCAGCAGUGGGGAAUAUUGCACAAUGGGCGAAAGCCUGAUGCAGCGACGCCGCGUGAGGGAUGACGGCCUUCGGGUUGUAAACCUCUUUCAGCAGGGAAGAAGCGAAAGUGACGGUACCUGCAGAAGAAGCGCCGGCUAACUACGUG